GGUCGCCCAAGAGAACUGGCUAUCUUUCUCUUUAUACAAAAUAUCUUGAAAAGCAAAGAAAAAAUCUACCUCGGCAACGAAUAUGUCAUUGACUGCUAGUUUCAUUGCAUGGAAUGCCACACUUAAUGGUCAUUCUAGAUUCAAGAUUGAAUACUUGCAUGCCGCAUGAUGCAUGAGAUGAUAUCUUUUUCCUGCACAUGAUGUAUACAACCACAAACCUAGUGUAAUCCAACAGCAUGAAGUACUUAUAAUUAAAAUUUUAAGUGUAAAUUUAAUAGAUGAACUCCAAUAGUGCCAUUAACAUUUGCCUUCCCUGUGGAAAUUCAUGUGUAUGUGCUCACACGUGUCUAUGUGAAUAGACUUGGGGUCUUGGCACCCAAAAUAUCAACCAAUUAAACAAAAGUUGGUCACAACAAAGUACAAAUGCAGCUCAUAAAAGUUGUCCAGGAAGCUGAUCUGGCUGAUCUUAAGGUGGAAUAGAAGGAAAACAAUAUAUCCGAAGAAGGAAACUACGACUAAUUAGACCGCUGGUGAACAAAUGACAACAUCACUGAGGAAAAGAAUGUGACAUAUAGAAUACAAGUAGGUUCUGUGAGCUCAUAUCUCCGGCUAUUUUGAUUCUUCUAGAGAGCUUUAAAUCAACCGUUGACACCUACGGCGCCGACCCUACCGCUGGUCACCGACGUACCCUCUCUCUCCCGCGCCUCGGCCCUCCGGCCCCGUCGCCGUCGCCGACCUACGGCGCCGACCCGACCGCCGAUCACCGACGCUGCCCCCCUCCCCAACCCCCUCGGACAUGACCCUAUUCACCCAUUACUGCCCACAGCCACAACUAGGCGAAAGUAUAAGAGAAUAUAAAGAUAAUAUAAAGAUAUAAAGACAUAAACGAUGGUAAUAGUAAAGCAGCAGCAAUUAAUACAAGGCUCACACCAAUUCAAGGAAAUAUUCCAGCAACCAAACUAUACUCAAUUACUAGUAUAAUACGAAGAAUGAAAGAAUGCAGAAUGAAGAAUGAAAUAAGCAAAGGUUAGAAGUCACC
rnacentral:lncRNA from 1 species